GACGAACCGUGCGAACGUUAUUCGGAAUCACUGGGCUUAAAGCGCGUGUAGGCGGGACGGCACGUCGGUCGCUGAAAGCCCCCGGCUCAACCGGGGAACGGGCGCCGAUACGACCGUCCUGGAGGGACGUAGGGGGACCUGGAACUUCCGGUGGAGCGGUGAAAUGCGUUGAGAUCGGAAGGAACGCCCGUGGCGAAAGCGAGGUCCUGGACGCCUACUGACGCUGAGACGCGAAAGCUAGGGGAGCAAACGGG
rnacentral:rRNA from 1 species